rnacentral:rRNA from 1 species
CCUACGGGAGGCAGCAGGUGGGGAAUUUUGGACAAUGGGCGCAAGCCUGAUCCAGCAAUGCCGCGUGCAGGAAGAAGGCCUUCGGGUUGUAAACUGCUUUUGUACGGAACGAAAAGGCUCUGGUUAAUACCUGGGGCUCAUGACGGUACCGUAAGAAUAAGCACCGGCUAACUACGUGCCAACAGCCGCGGUAAUACGUAGGAUCCGAGCGUUGUCCGGAGUUACUGGGUGUAAAGGGUGCGUAGGCUGUUCUGUGCGUCAGAGGUGAAAUCCACGGGCUUAACUCGUGGGGUGCCUUUGAUACGGCAGGGCUUGAGUACGAGAGAGGUGCGUGGAAUUCCUGGUGUAGCAGUGAAAUGCGUAGAUAUCAGGAGGAACACCGGUGGCGAAGGCGGCGCACUGGCUCGUAACUGACGCUGAGGCACGAAAGCGUGGGGAUCAAACAGGAUUAGAUACCCUGGUAGUCCACGCCUUAAACGAUGCAUGCUUGGUGUUGGUCUCGCAAGAGAUCAGUGCCGUAGUUAACAUGAUAAGCAUGCCACCUGGGGAGUACGAUCGCAAGGUUGAAACUCAAAGGAAUUGACGG